ensembl:lncRNA
CGCCGGGCUGCGCCCCGGGUGACACGAAGGCGGGGCUUCGCUCCCAGCCGCCGUGGCGGGGGCUUGAGAAGCCUCGCGUGGCCUCCGCCACUCCGGACUCGUGCCGAGGCCCGCGCGGCGCAGUCAUCAUCCCUCGGCGUCCCCAGCGAGGCUCCGGGGAACUCCCGGGCCCGCUCCCGCCCUGAGCCCUCCACGGGGCUCUCCUGGGCCCACGAGGCCACCCAGGUGUGCUCGGAACGCAGACGCGGCCCGCCGCACUCACUGACCUGAGGCGGCAGCGCGACCGCCGCUUCCGGCCCGGACACGGGCAAGAUGGCGGCGGCCGAGAGCGGUGCUGCCGGGGCCCACGACCUAACCACUGGCCUCCAGCCGCGCCGCUGCGCCUGGGCCUCGCAAGGGGAGUCCCCGCUGGCGGACCGCCCUUCCCUCUCCCGGGACUCACUGCCUAGGGGCGGGGCCGCCGUCCCGGAGCCCCCGCCUUUCCACAGGCCCCGCCCCCGGGGCUGGUCCCCCGGGUGUCCGGAGCUCAGAUCCCAGAUAGAGCCUUCCAGCGCCUUCACACACUUCAGCUCGUUUGAUCAAUUUUAAUGCCUAUCAAACAUUAUUGAGGGCGAUAUGGUAGAAAAUCUAGGGUUUGGAGGUUAUGACGUAUUCACCUUUUACUCUGUCCACAAAUAGGUCUUGGACACCCAUUUUAUACCUAGCACGGAGUUGGAAUGCUGGGGAUGUAGGAGAGCCCUAAAAAGACACGUCCCUGUGGAAAUCGGGCAAUUAGUGAGGGCUUGUUAAGGCCUGUAGAGUACUGCACAGGAGAGGAACCCACUUGGUGGAAGCCCAGCAAAGCCCCCUUGACGAUCACUAGGAUGAGACAAGAAGACUGAAUAAAUAUGAGAGGGCUCCAGGCGAGAGGGUAGAAAGAAAAGAGCCUUCUAAGGAUGGGGCAGAAAUAAGAAAAGGAAAAGAAAAAAGACGAAGUGCAAAAGAAGUGCUCAGGGAGAAAAGUGUGCUUUAAAAGAAAAAGAGGAUUCAUCCUGCAAGCAGAACGGACCACUACAAGAACAAAGGACAUGGUGGCAGUACAUAAUGAUUUCAUUCCUCGUUGGGGACUUGGGACAUUAGUAUUCCAUCAUGUAUAAACAUCAUAUUUUCUUUAUCCAUUCAUCGGUUGAUGAACACACAGGCUGCCUCCAAGAUUUAUUGUGAGCUGUGCUGCUUUAAACAUGGGUAUGUAUGUAUUACUGUAACAUGAUGUCUUUAACUCUUUUGGGAAGAUAGCUAGAAGGGGAAUAGAUGGGUCAAAUGGAAUUUCUAAUUUUAGUUUUUUGAGGAAUCUCCAUACUGGUUUCCAGAGUGGAUGUACUAGUUUAUAUUUCCACAAACAAUGUAGAAAUAUUCCUUUUUUUUCCUGCAAC